CUCUCUAUUGCAUUUAAUAAUGCCAGAAGUCAAAAGUAUAACCACCAUAUACAACUUUUUGGGGAAUAAAUUGGACUCUUUUGGAAAAGUGCAACUAAAAAGAACCCUCAGAUCUCAUAGCUUUGUCAAGAUCAUGUAAAGUUCAAAGUAAUCGCAUUCAUCAAUAGCUUUUCACACACCACCUUACCACCAAGAAAUAUCUAAUAUAUAUACAUACACACAAAACAUGUGUACAUAGAGAGAGAGAGAGAGAGAGAGAGAGAGAGAGAGAGAGAGAGAGAGAGAGAGAGAGAAUGAAAGUAGGUGGAGUGCAAAAGCCAGAGAUGAAUAGAGAACCAGAACCAUCCAAUCAAAAAUGAGUUUUCCAUCAUUGGGCAGAUAACAGCAACAGUAGAAUCACAAUGAAAUCCGAG
rnacentral:lncRNA from 1 species